rnacentral:rRNA from 1 species
AUUGAACGCUGGCGGCAUGCCUUACACAUGCAAGUCGAACGGCAGCACGGGUGCUUGCACCUGGUGGCGAGUGGCGAACGGGUGAGUAAUACAUCGGAACAUGUCCUGUAGUGGGGGAUAGCCCGGCGAAAGCCGGAUUAAUACCGCAUACGAUCUACGGAUGAAAGCGGGGGACCUUCGGGCCCCGCGCUAUAGGGUUGGCCGAUGGCUGAUUAGCUAGUUGGUGGGGGAAAGGCCUACCAAGGCGACGAUCAGUAGCGGGUCUGAGAGGACGACCAGCCACACUGGGACUGAGACACGGCCCAGACUCCUACGGGAGGCAGCAGUGGGGAAUUUUGGACAAUGGGCGAAAGCCUGAUCCAGCAAUGCCGCGUGUGUGAAGAAGGCCUUCGGGUUGUAAAGCACUUUUGUCCGGAAAGAAAUCCUUGGCCCUAAUACGGUCGGGGGAUGACGGUACCGGAAGAAUAAGCACCGGCUAACUACGUG